GACGAACGCUGGCGGCGUGCUUAACACAUGCAAGUCGAACGGAAAGGCCCUGCUUUUGUGGGGUGCUCGAUUGGCGAACGGGUGAGUAACACGUGAGUAACCUGCCCUUGACUUUGGGAUAACUUCUGGAAACUGGGGCUAAUACCGGAUAGGAGCUCCUGCUGCAUGGUGGGGGUUGGAAAGUUUCGGAGGUUGGGGAUGGUCUCGCGGCUUAUCAGCUUGUUGGUGGGGUAGUGGCUUACCAAGGCUUUGACGGGUAGCCGGCCUGAGAGGGUGACCGGCCACAUUGGGACUGAGAUACGGACCAGAAGGCAACGGGAGGCAGCAGGGGGGAAUAUUGCACAAUGGGCGGAAGCCUGAUGCAGCAACGCCGCGUGCGGGAUGACGGCCUUCGGGUUGUAAACCGCUUUGGCCUGUGACGAAGAGUGAGUGACGGUAAUGGGUAAAGAAGCACCGGCUAACUACGUG
rnacentral:rRNA from 1 species